CGCGGGGUGGAGCAGCCUGGUAGCUCGUCGGGCUCAUAACCCGAAGGUCGUCGGUUCAAAUCCGGCCCCGACGCGG
rnacentral:tRNA from 1 species